UAGAGAUCCGCUUGCCUCUGCCUCCCGAGUGCUGGGAUUAAAGGCGUGCACCACCACCGCCCAGCUAGGGGCAACACUCUUAAAGGAAACUUAUUCUCCCUCUAUGGACUUGCUUAAUCAGGUAUCUGCCAAUAGCUCCUCAAAUCAGUCUUCCUCAGCUGUGAAUCCUGUGAACUACAGUAACCACUGGUCUGGCAAGACACACGCACUGGUACAAUAGAGCACAAAUAUCAUGGUAGUAGCCAGCCAUUUCCUCCUUAUAUUGAAGUCCCAUUCCACAAUAUAAAACCUAUAUCUGAUGCCAUUGUCAGGGCAAGAACUUGAGGCUAGGUAAGUCAUAGUCCCUAUAGUAGAACCUACUUUAAGGGACUAUUAUGCUGCUAAAUGCACAUUGUAUUAAAUCAACUCCUAGUGACUUAUCAUUAUACUUAUAGAUAAAUGCGUCUCAACCUUCAUCAGAGAAUCUUCUAUGGAUGCUGAUCAACAAUAGUAGAUGUUUAUUAACAGAGACAACUGGUCAACAUGCAGACAAUAAUGGACCUUGGAAUGCUAAGCCAUAAAUGAAACAUCUAUAUCCUAUUCCCUCCUCUCGUGGACCAGAAAUCAUAGUGGAAGAGGGUGUAAGGAGUGGAUGAAUACUAGAGAACUUUGUCCCCUGGAUAAAGCAGGACAGUUGCACAUAUUAACUCAUAGCAAUUGUAACAGCAUACACAAGACCCAUGCAAGGUCAAGGUAGACUUUAAAUUUCAUUAUAAUAAAUGCUGUUUAUCACUGUAAAAUUUAUCUGACAUUAUUCAUAUGAAUAAGUAACCCAUGAAGUCUACUAACAUCGUAAGAGAUUUUGCUUGGUUAUGACCUCCUUUCAAAACUACAGCUGUGCUUCAGCCAUGAAACCUCACAGAUCAGAACCAGAAAAUGGAGUCAUGUAAGACUCAGAAAACCACCUACUACCUUCUGGUUUCUGUUACUGAGUAUUAGGCACAGAACAGCUGCAGCGAACAUGAGAAGAGACAGCUUCCAUCCCCAAAUCUGUCUCUGUGAUUCACUGACUUCCAGCUUUUUCUCCAAUCUGAAAUAUGUUUACCAGAAAAAAGAAGGACAGCCUCUGCCAUAGUGGGUACAAAGGACUGGCUAGAAUGUUUCUCCAUUUUUGGAAGACGGCCAUAAUUCAGGAGAAAGUCCAGUGGAGAAAAUCAGGGCUCUGUGUUUGCACUAUGAAUGUCAAUGGGGCCAGAGCAAUGUCCUUGCUGGCUUCCUCAAACUUUCACUCUGUUAUUUAUUUGAGGCUGGAGGCUAGUCCUAACACCUGAGUCUAAUAGAUCAGACUCAACCAUCACCAACAGCGAUUGUAGAAUAAUUUUUAAAAGGAGAAGAGAACAGUGGUAUUUAAAAGGAGAAGGGAGAAGACUAUUUCUUAAAGUGUAAAACUUUACGUGGAUUUCUCCAGGGUUUUUUGUGCAAAUUUUUGUCAAAUCCAGAUGUAAUUUUGAAUAGAUAGGUAACUUCACUCUGGCCUUGAUCUUUGUGGUGCCUUUUAAGGCCUAUUUCAUGAAGUAACUAGUCUUCCUGGAAGGGACAGCACUGAGGGUAGUGCUCAUUGCUGGUGAAGUUUCUUAGUUGACUGUCUUCUCUGUCAAAUGAGAAUCCAAAUCAUCCAUGUUGUCUUUCUGUCUUUUAAAAUGCUACUGAAUUCUAUUGAGAAUGCUAAUACUGGGCGGGCCUCUUCAAUUAAUUUUGCCUCAAAUAGCAUAAGAAAGCUUUGGGCAGGAUAGAAGCAGGUGUUUGUUUUCCCAGUACCAGACCUUGGCUGGGUGCUCAUGUUUAGUGAAGGUUCACUAAGCAUCAUGGGUAAUGCGUUCUCCUGGAUCUUGGAUGAUUGAUUGAAGCCCAAGGCAUAGACACCCAGGAAAUGAUGUGCUUUUAGGUGGAGCUUUUCACUAUUGGAGGGGGAAAUUUGGAUCCUGAUGCAGGAAUUCCACUUGGUUUGGGUUGCCUACAAUGUUGUUUUUGAUCAGCUUGCUGAGUAAAGCCCGGGUAGCCAUGUCUUCUUUAUUUUCUGCAUCUGCCUUUUCUGCAGUGGCACUGGUUUUGAUAACACCAUUAGUGUCUGACUUGACUUUUGCUUCUUUGAUCUGCAAACUGCUUAUAAUUUCAACUGUGACUUCCCGCUUGUGCAUCACUAGGUCACAUGAUUUAGUAGGUCAUAGUACUAAGUGUGUAUGGGGGGCGGUGGGGAACUUGUGAAGAGCUGAACUGCGCUACACCAGUGCCAUCACUGAGCCCAAGACUGCCUUAUUUUUAAAACUAAUAUUUUAUUUGUAUUAAAGAUCUAGUAUAAAUAGUAAGUUUUGUAAAUCAAGACCUCACAAGUUUUCUUUCUAAAACUUACAUGCAUUUUGCUCUACUAAAAUAUUUAUAAUUAAUAUAACCUUUUAAACUACCCACAUAAAUGUUGAAUGAUGAAUAUAUUUAUGUGUUUAAAAUUUACCCACCAGUGUCCUUAUUUCUGAAGAUGCUGAAAAAUAGGUCCAGGAUAGUCACCUGAAUUCUGACUCCAGCUUAAUUUUACCUAAAUGAAUACUUAAAAAUAAUAAAGAUAUUUGUACAAUCCUCAUAUGCUGCAUCUGCAUUCUGUUUUUAUGUAUAUUGCUGUAAGUCAGAGGCAGUAUUUUGUUUCUUAUCUCGUUUACACUGAUGAACUUUUUUCACCCCCUUGUAAGAUGCAAGCAGGAAAAAAGCAUGGGAGUGAGGGAGUUCAAGAAGCCAGACAGAAACAGAACUGAAAACUGGGGUAUUUACCAAAGUAUAUAUGCCAAGUACAUUAGAGGUAAUCAUCAAUAUGAAACACUUCCUUUAAAAAGUAAUAGUUGCAUGUAUUAUUUUGUUGAAAAUGUAUGCUCAUUAUAGACUCUGUCUAUCACAGGCAGACAAAUUUUCUCUAGAAUUUGCUCUAUUUUGAAAGGAAUAUACCAAAGUAUUUUAAUUUACUUUCUUUUCAUAUAUAACCAACUAAUUUCCAGUUAAGCAAAUCCACAUAUUUACUUAUGAUGUCUCUUUGCUUAGCUAAGUUGCAUUUCAGGAUAGAUGGUUUUCUUGUGAGAAAUGUCCUUAAUAGUAAGUAACCGUCUGUGAAAGGCAGGAUGUAUCCAGAGACUAGCAUGGGUUGGAGGUGACAAAGGAACUUAUUUAAAUGUCAAAGAAGGAAGCUGUAUUACUUUUUUUGAACCAGCAGGACAGAGAAAGAGGCCAAGGAUCUUAAAACUAGGAAAACGGAUAAAAUGAAGACAAAUGACAUCAGCUUGAGGAGAAGAGGCUGGCAAACAAGUGGUACAUUGAUGUUUAGGACAUCUAGAAACCUGUGAAAAUGUCUAAUGUGUCAAUAUUCCAUUUGAAUUCGUCUCCUAGAUACACCAUAGACAUGUACCUACCCUUUUACCAAAACUUCUAUCGAACUUGCUCAGUACACACUAAUUUUGUAUUUGCAUUGCAGUGGAGGACUGACGACCUCAUAUGUGGCUGAAAGAAGAUAGCAGUGACAGAAGGUGGUCUGAGCAGAGCAGGUGGCUUGCUCUUCACCCAUGGACAGAACAACUUGACAAAGGCAGCUGGAAUGGGGGCAGUGUCUAACCUGAUCUUUAUCUCAGUGAGUGUUUACCCCUACUUUAUACCUUAUAAUAAAUCUUUGAGAAUCUUUACCAGACUCCCACGGAUUCACACUACACCAGAGCCAUGGAAUACCUGCUAAGGAGAGCUACUAACAGAGGUUGGAACCAGCCCAAGAGAAAGAAGUGUGUUGCAGUCAACAAAUCUGAAUGGAGUUGGAGAUUUGAAGGGCACUUUAGCAGAAGACAUGGAGUUUCAGAGUGUGGUGAUUGCUCAGCUGGUUUUUGGUCUUGCUUUGGUCCAGUAUUUCUGCACUAUGCUCCCCUUCCCUGCCACUAUAUGUUGCGAGUAUAUAAUCUGCUUUUUGAUUUUGAUUUUACAGGGGACUACAGUUAAGAGGCUUCAUGAAUUUUAGACUUAGAAUUUUAAACUUUAAGUAUGUUUGAGACUGUUACAGACUAUGGGGACUUUUGAAGUUGGACUGAAUGUGUUUUUACAUUAUGAUAUAGCUACAAGACUUUGGGUGCUAGACAAUUGAUUGUGGUAGUUAAAAAGAAAAUGCCCCAUAGAGAGUGGCACUAAUAGGAGGUGUGGCUUUGUUGGAUUAGGUGUGACCUUAUUGGAGGAAGUGUAUCACUGGGGUGGCGUGCUUUGAGGUCUCCUUUUCUCAAGCUAUGCUCAGUGUGACACACAUUUGCUUCUGAUGUCUGCAGAUCAAGAUGUAGAACUCUCAGCUUCUUCUACAGAGCCAUGUAUGCCCACAAGCCAUCAUAUCCUACCAUGAUAAUGGACUGAUUCUGAAAUUAAGCCACCCAAUUAAAUGUUAAGUGUUACCAUG